AUUGAACGCUGGCGGAAUGCUUUACACAUGCAAGUCGAACGGCAGCACGGACUUCGGUCUGGUGGCGAGUGGCGAACGGGUGAGUAACAUAUCGGAACGUAUCCAAUAAUGGGGGAUAACUAAUCGAAAGGUUGGCUAAUACCGCAUACGCCCUACGGGGGAAAGCAGGGGAUCUUCGGACCUUGCGUUAAUGGAGCGGCUGAUAACUGAUAAGCAAGUUGGUGAGGUAAAGGCUCACCAAGGCGACGAUCAGUAGCUGGUCUGAGAGGACGACCAGCAACACUGGAACUGAGACACGGUCCAGACUCCUACGGGAGGCAGCAGUGGGGAAUUUUGGACAAUGGGCGCAAGCCUGAUCCAGCCAUUCCGCGUGAGUGAAGAAGGCCUUCGGGUUGUAAAGCUCUUUCGCAAGGGAAGAAAACUUACUUUCUAAUAAAGAGUGAGGUUGACGGUACCUUGAUAAGAAGCACCGGCUAACUACGUGCCAGCCGCCGCCGUAA
rnacentral:rRNA from 1 species